rnacentral:rRNA from 1 species
AUUGAGCGCUGGCGGAAUGCUUUACACAUGCAAGUCGAACGGCAGCACGGGGGCAGCCCUGGUGGCGAGUGGCGAACGGGUGAGUAAUACAUCGGAACGUGCCCAGUCGUGGGGGAUAACGUAGCGAAAGUUACGCUAAUACCGCAUACGAUCUACGGAUGAAAGCGGGGGACCGUAAGGCCUCGCGCGAUUGGAGCGGCCGGUGUCAGAUUAGGUAGUUGGUGAGGUAAAGGCUCACCAAGCCGACGAUCUGUAGCUGGUCUGAGAGGACGACCAGCCACACUGGGACUGAGACACGGCCCAGACUCCUACGGGAGGCAGCAGUGGGGAAUUUUGGACAAUGGGCGCAAGCCUGAUCCAGCCAUUCCGCGUGCAGGACGAAGGCCUUCGGGUUGUAAACUGCUUUUGUACGGAACGAAAAGGCUCUGGUUAAUACCCGGGGCUCAUGACGGUACCGUAAGAAUAAGCACCGGCUAACUACGUGCCAGCCGCCGCUGUAA